rnacentral:rRNA from 1 species
UACAGAGGUCUCAAGCGUUGUUCGGAUUCAUUGGGCGUAAAGGGUGCGUAGGCGGCGGGGCAAGUCGGAUGUGAAAUCUCAGGGCUCAACCCUGAAACUGCAUUCGAUACUGCCUUGCUCGAGGACUGGAGAGGAGAGUGGAAUUCACGGUGUAGCAGUGAAAUGCGUAGAUAUCGUGAGGAAGACCAGUGGCGAAGGCGGAUCUCUGGACAGUUCCUGACGCUGAGGCACGAAGGCCGGGGGAGCAAACGGG